GAUGAACGCUGGCGGCGUGCCUAAUACAUGCAAGUAGGACGCAGUUGCGAACGGGUGAGUAACGCGUAGGUAACUACCUAUUAGAGGGGGGUAACUAUUGGAAACGAUAGCUAAUACCGCAUACUAGUAGAUGGACCUGCGUUGUAUUAGCUAGUAGGUAGGGUAAUGGCCUACCUAGGCAACGAUACAUAGCCGAGCUGAUGGGGUGAUCGGCCACACUGGCACUGAGGCACGGCCCAGAGUCCUAAGGCAGGCAGCAGUAGGGAAUGUUCCGAAAUGGGGGGAACCCUGACCGGGCAACGCCGCGUGAGUGAAGAAGGUCUUCGGAUCGUAAAGCUCUGUUGUUAAGGAAGCGGUACCUAAUCAGAAAGCCACGGCUAACUACGUGCAUGCAGCCGCGGUAAUAC
rnacentral:rRNA from 1 species